UUGUUGAUUUGUGUUAUUUUUUGUGCGCAUUUGUGUUUUGUUUUUUGUUUGUGAUUUCUUUGAUUUUGGGUGAGAAGGACUUGAUGUCCUUUUCGUAGCAUUUUUCCAUGGAAUGUUAUUUUCCUUUUCUCGUCUUUUCAUUUAAUGUCGGUUUCUUUGCCCACAAUUUAUAACCGUAUAACUUCAUUUUUUCAGGUUAUUCGGGAGCAGGUGAAGUGUAUGAAGAAGUAUUUUUUUGGAUUCUCGGGAGCAGGAGAAGUGUGUGAGGAAAGUCUUCUUAGAUAAGUUUUCUUCGUAUUCCCUGUUCUUUCAUAUACCGCAUUGUUCAAUAUAUCUGUUAUGUUUGGGUAUGAUUUGUUGACUUGAUCUAUGCAUUAUUGAAUUCAUUUCGAAUAUGUUCAUUAUGUUUUGGUUUGUGCGCUUUACGUUUCAUUUUUUUUUCUCAUUUCUUUCUUUGUGGGUUAGAAUAGUGUAAUUUCCAUUUCUGGUGUUUUCAUCUGAUCUCGGCUUCUUUGGCAAGCAUUUCUAAGCAUAUCACUGGAUUUUUCAGGUUUCUCGGAAGCAAGAGAAGUUUAUGAGGAAGUACUUCUUAUCUAAGUUUACUUCGUAUUCCCUUUUGUCUGCUAUAUCGCAAUUUUCAUUAUCUCUGUUAUGUGUUGGUAUUAUUUGUUGAUUUGUGUUAUUUUUUGUGCGCAUUUGUGUUUUGUUUUUUGUUUGUGAUUUCUUUGAUUUUGGGUGAGAAGGACUUGAUGUCCUUUUCGUAGCAUUUUUCCAUGGAAUGUUAUUUUCCUUUUCUCGUCUUUUCAUUUAAUGUCGGUUUCUUUGCCCACAAUUUAUAACCGUAUAACUUCAUUUUUUCAGGUUAUUCGGGAGCAGGUGAAGUGUAUGAAGAAGUACUUUUUUGGAUUCUCGGGAGCAGGAGAAGUGUGUGAGGAAAGUCUUCUUAGAUAAGUUUUCUUCGUAUUCCCUGUUCUUUCAUAUACCGCAUUGUUCAAUAUAUCUGUUAUGUUUGGGUAUGAUUUGUUGACUUGAUCUAUGCAUUAUUGAAUUCAUUUCGAAUAUGUUCAUUAUGUUUUGGUUUGUGCGCUUUACGUUUCAUUUUUUUUUCUCAUUUCUUUCUUUGUGGGUUAGAAUAGUGUAAUUUCCAUUUCUGGUGUUUUCAUCUGAUCUCCGCUUCUUUGGCAAGCAUUUCUAAGCAUAUCACUGGAUUUUUCAGGUUUCUCGGAAGCAAGAGCAGUUUAUGAGGAAGUACUUCUUAUCUAAGUUUACUUCAUAUUCCUUUUUGUCUGCUAUUUCGCAAUUUUCAUUAUCUCUGUUAUGUGUUGGUAUUAUUUGUUGAUUUGUGUUAUUUUUUGUGCGCAUUUGUGUUUUGUUUUUUGUUUGUGAUUUCUUUGAUUUUGUCCUUUUCGUAGCAUUUUUCCAUAGAAUGUUAUUUUCCUUUUCUCGUCUUUUCAUUUAAUGUCGGUUUCUUUGCCCACAAUUUAUAACCGUAUAACUUCAUUUUUUCAGGUUAUUCGGGAGCAGGUGAAGUGUAUGAAGAAGUACUUUUUUGGAUUCUCGGGAGCAGGAGAAGUGUGUGAGGAAAGUCUUCUUAGAUAAGUUUUCUUCGUAUUCCCUGUUCUUUCAUAUACCGCAUUGUUCAAUAUAUCUGUUAUGUUUGGUAUGAUUUGU